CCCAGGUAAGAUAAACUUCCCCAAAGCUCCACCACACACGGCCCCCUCCAAUGUCGGGCACAGACAUCGUCUGCCCUGCCAGCCUCAUCAUGGCUCAUUAUGGCUGCUGCUUGCUCAGCAAGUUUGAUUUCAUGUCCAGAAAAAUCUGAAUUUCAAAACUACCUGGGUGCUCUCUGUCCAGUUCUGGGGGAAAUCGCCUCCCUUUUGCCUUCCUCCUCAGCCCCCUGCCCUCCCGAUUCUCUUCACAGUACUUUAGGCCCUCACGAAAUAUGAUACUUUCAAAUCCAACUUAAAGCCUUAAGUAAUAAGAAAAGAAAAAAAAAUUGUUUUUUGACAUAAAGACAGAACUAACAACGCCCGAGUGCCCUCUCUGGGCCGAGACCUCGCGUCUCAACAGCCCUCACCUCAGCUCGUCGACGCUUCCCUCCCACCGGGGGUCAACGGCCUUUUCCGGCCCAAACCCGCUCCUCGGCUCAUGAAUAGUCAACGAGGCCUUUCUGGGCGGGACCAGAGGUUUCCUCAUGAAUAAUUCAUGACCCGUCCACGGCUAGCCUGGGCGACCGGCCUCGCUAGACUUCAUGAAUAUGCAAAGCAGGGGCGAACGGCGGCUAGCCGGCCCCUAGCCCGCCCGGCCCCUCAGCAGCCGCCUCUCAGCCACGGGCUGCACACUGACCCGACGCGACCUUCGGUCAGGGGCCGCCAGCCUGGGCCACCUAUACAACGACAGCCUGCUCCGGGGCUUCCUGAGGAGGUGCCUGCCCCGCCGAGGUUCAACAGCUUUGGAGAGCAGGACAUCUUUUCCUCUCAGCCUGGCCCUCUGCAAUGGAGGCCAUAAAUAGGCCAGUAGUGGAAGCUACAGAACACGUGAGCAUGGCAGGGGCUGAGCUCCAUUUCAAGGCUUGUAAGGACCCUUGUGAUGACAUUGGUCCUACCCAGACUACCUAG
rnacentral:lncRNA from 1 species